UAUACACAAAUGAUUAGGCUAUUUCAGUGUACACUAAGUAAGGAUGGCUAUGUUCUUGAGAGAACCUAGUUUUACUGGGUUAGUAUAAUAUUCACAGUUUUAAAAAUUCCAUUUAUAUGAUUUGUUAAAUUAGUGAGCUGUGAGCUACAAUGAUAUUCCUCUAAAUCCCUUUUCUCCAUUCUCUGAAAAUGUUGAAGGAUGGACAUGAAACUUUGUUCCAAGAGAGCUCAUCUGUUCAUGGUGAAGGAAUUUGAUCAAGCUAUUUCCAAAGGGUAGGGGAGUGUGACAUUUUUUCAUCAUUCAAGUCCUUCUGCCUGUGAGUGUGGUGGAAGCAUGGCAUAUGCUCAAGAUGCAGGUGUGAUUGGUCAACAUAAAGUCGCCUGAGAAAACAACCCAGAGGAGGAGGAGGAAGAGGACAAUAUGGCUGCUUCUCAGUUCAACAUGGGAAGGCAUUGAUAUCCGAGUUCCCUAAUGAGAUGGUGUUUGCAGAAGGGA